rnacentral:rRNA from 1 species
CCUACGGGUGGCAGCAGUGGGGAAUAUUGGGCAAUGGGCGCAAGCCUGACCCAGCAACGCCGCGUGAAGGAAGAAGGCUUUCGGGUUGUAAACUUCUUUUAAGAGGGAAGAGUAGAAGACGGUACCUCUUGAAUAAGCCACGGCUUACUACGGGCCAGCAGCCGCGGUAAUACGGAGGUGGCAAGCGUUGUCCGGAUUUACUGGGUGUAAAGGGCGUGUAUGCGGGCCGGCAAUGCAGAUGUGAAAUCCCAAGGCUCAACCUUGGAAGUGCAUUUGAAACUGUUGGUCUUGAGUAGGCGAGAGGCAGGCGGAAUUCGUGGUGUAGCGGUGAAAUGCGUAGAUAUUAGGAAGAACACCAGUGGCGAAGGCAGCCUACUGGACGACAACUGACGGUGAGGCGCGAAAGCGUGGGGAGCAAACAGGAUUAGAUACCCGGGUAGUC